UCGAGGAUCUUCGGCAAUGGGCGCAAGCCUGACCGAGCGACGCCGCGUGUGGGAUGAAGGCCUUCGGGUUGUAAACCACUGUCAGAGGGGAUGAAAUGCGCAUGGGUUCUCCCAUGCGUUUGACAUAGCCUCAGAGGAAGCAAGGGCUAAGUUCGUGCCAGCAGCCGCGGUAAGACGAACCUUGCUAACGUUAUUCGGAAUCACUGGGCUUAAAGGGUGCGUAGGCUGCGCAGAAAGUUGGGUGUGAAAUCCCUCGGCUUAACCGAGGAACUGCGCCCAAAACUACUGUGCUCGAGGGAGACAGAGGUGAGCGGAACUUAGGGUGGAGCGGUGAAAUGCGUUGAUAUCCUAAGGAACACCCGUGGCGAAAGCGGCUCACUGGGUCUCUUCUGACGCUGAGGCACGAAAGCUAGGGUAGCGAACGGGAUUAGAUACCCCCGUAGUCC
rnacentral:rRNA from 1 species